rnacentral:snoRNA from 1 species
UGAACCAAUGAGGAUUGGUAGAGGUUGAGGCAGACGAUGAAUAAUAAGUAUCUGGAACCCUGAGGUCCAA